rnacentral:tRNA from 1 species
CCGAGGUCGUUCAACGGCAGGACACGACGCUCUGAACGUCGUAACGGUGGUUCAAUUCCACCCCUCGGCG